UACGUAGGGGGCAAGCGUUGUCCGGAUUUAUUGGGCGUAAAGAGCGUGUAGGCGGCCAUGUAGGUCCGUUGUGAAAACUCGAGGCUCAACCUCGGAACUGCCUUCGAUACUGCGGGUCUCGAGUCCGGGAGAGGUGAGUGGAAUUCCUAGUGUAGAGGUGAAAUUCGUAGAUAUUAGGAAGAACACCAGUGGCGAAGGCGGCUCACUGGCCCGGUACUGACGCUGAGGCGCGAAAGCGUGGGGAGCAAACAGG
rnacentral:rRNA from 1 species